rnacentral:rRNA from 1 species
GCCAGACUCCUACGGGAGGCAGCAGUGGGGGAUAUUGCACAAUGGGGGAAACCCUGAUGCAGCGACGCCGCGUGGGUGAAGAAGCGCCUCGGCGCGUAAAGCCCUGUCAGCAGGGAAGAAAAUGACGGUACCUGAAGAAGAAGCCCCGGCUAACUACGUGCCAGCAGCCGCGGUAAUACGUAGGGGGCAAGCGUUAUCCGGGUUUACUGGGUGUAAAGGGAGCGUAGGUGGCAGUGCAAGUCAGAAGUGAAAGCCCGGGGCUCAACGCCGGGACUGCUUUUGAAACGGUACAGCUUGAUUGCAGGAGAGGCAAGUGGAAUUCCUAGUGUAGCGGUGAAAUGCGUAGAUAUUAGGAGGAACACCAGUGGCGAAGGCGGCUUGCUGGACUGUAAAUGACGCUGAGGCUCGAAAGCGUGGGGAGCAAACAGGAUUAGAUACCCCCGUAC